AGUGCUCAAUUAACACUUCUUGAUUGAAUGAUACAUUCCUGUCCCUGAAUUAGGUGCAUUGUGUCCAAAUUAUGGUGAUUGUCAUCAACUUAUGGGUAUGUAUCAGUCAAGAUCCACUUGGGGUGAGUAUACAAACUCUCCAAAAAGUCUGGAGGGUUUGGUAAAUUAUUGGGUUUAUAAAUGGAAAUUAUUUGUUUAGAUGUAAGUAUCCCAAUUUACUGCAGUCACGGGAUAGGGAAAGGGUCAAGACUUGUUUAUUUUUAUGGGUAUAUAUGGAAUUUACAUUUUCCUAACGUUAAUACUUUUUACACAGAAGUGUGAUUUCAGAGUUCCAGGAAGUACUUUUACCACCCAAAAUACUUGUUCGGCCUAUUCUCUAGUUCUCCAUUUUUGUUAUAGGAGCAAAAGCCUUUAUCAAUCACAUAAUUAGAAAGAAACCUUAUAUCAUGACUGAUACGGGGCUCUGAAGGAGAAAACAGGAGAAGUCAUUACAGCAAGAAGCGAAGUCUCCCUUUAUUUCCAAUAACCUGAUGAAAGAAGGAUAUGCUUAUCCAUUUUGCACAUAAGGAAUCUGAGGCACAUAGAAGUCAAAUGGAUUGCCAAGAGGGGGAAGCACACAAGAUACCUCCCAAGAUGGACAAAUUUUAAGACUGUGGUAGAAUGUCAAACUCCCAAUUGGAAAGCAGGAAGAGGUUUUCUGCAAAGGUGUUCAAAGGACAUGGAGAGAAAUGGAGGCUAGAGAGAAAGCAGACAUGGAGGGACAGCUAACAUCAAGCGGUGCUGGAGAUACAGAGUAUCAGAAGCCCCAUCUGUUUGAAGUCUAUGGUUUAUCAGAGACUCUGCUUGCAGAAAGUCGCCUCAGAUUUCACACCAGACAGACUUCACAGUAGGAUAAACCCAGAGGAAGUCUAGGAGAAACAGCUGUUUUUAUCAAGAGGGAGCCGAGCUCCUUAAAAGAGCUGAAAGAACUCAGGAACCAGAAAACUGAAUUGUGGUCUCAUAUCUAUCACUCAUCCCCCAAACUUGUGGGGCCGUGGGAAAGCAUGAAUGGAGAUCCUCACACCACACAUCCAGCUACGUGAAAGAGAUGGGCAGGAAGAGGUUAAAGAACAUGCCAGAAGGCACACACAGACAGUACUUGAUGGAGCUAGGACUUGAACCCAGGUGUCCGGUUCUCGAGAACACACUCUUACGCACUGGGCCUCACCGUCUUCCUGGAUCCUCACUUAGCAUGGAAAGAAAAAGCCAUGUACUAGUCCCAGCUUCGAGUCCUGCAGCCCUGGGCUGAUGGAUUUGAUCUCGUGUCCUCAUCUGUAAAACAGAGGAAAUGGCAUCUCUCUCCUGGGGCUGUUAUGAAAACUGGAGGAAAUAAGGACAGAGUAAUCCCGAGGAAGUCUGUGCUUCAGUUCCUGCACAUACGGUUUAAGGGUGGCGUUCAUCUAGUCUGGGCUGCCUCCUCCUUUCUGAAACUACGAGCCUCAUGAGCUGCAGGUCUCUGAUUUUCCAGGUUGAAGGAGACUCCAGUUUGCAGACCUGGCUAUGAACAUCCGAUUACACAGCCAGCAUCCCAGCUUAACCCUCUCCUCCCUCUUGUUUGGAUACGUUGAAGAGUGGUACCCUUCUCAGCUGAACGCUGCGGAACUGUGUCAUGGACUCUCUGCCUGGGUUUGCUGGCCUUGCACAGACUCCUCAGGCACGCCUUGCCCUCAGGCAGGGAGAGCGGAGCCAGGUUCUUAUGAAUGAAGAGGAAAGAAUCGUCACAGGACACACCUCACUGCGCCUUUUCUUAGCCGGCUUCCCAGGUAUUGACUUGUGCUAACAAAGAAAGGGAAAUUUCUUGGGUGGAAGUUUCCACACCUUAGGAUAAGCUUGCUCAAUCCUGAAGCCUAUAAGGAAUGUUCUGCCCAUAAUCAAUGAGUUCUAACUUAAUUCCUUGCAUUCUUUCUUGCAUUCCAAACAUUGUUAGCUGGGACACAUACCUAAAGGGUGAUUUGCAGAAAGAAAAAUAAAAUAUUUAACACCACGUACUUUUUCCACUGAA